GUGGAGGAGAAGCCGCCUGAAGCGCCACCGGUGACCAGUGUGGAGGAGAAAGCUGAGACCAUCCUGGAUCUCCCAGAGGAGCCUUCUGUCCCAACUGUAGAACCUGAACAGCCAUGCACUCAGCAGCUAGAACUGGCUGGAGCAGCCCCAGCUGGAGAUGCUGUUUUCUCAAUGGGAUUAGAAGAGCCAUCAAGUUCAGGAGAACCAGAAGUCCCUCAGUCCCUGGAAAAUGACUACUUGACACAGGAGUUGUAUGGCUCUUUCUAACUGGGAAGCUGGAGCACAAUCCUUGUUCCUGUUCAGCAUGAAACACUGUUAGAUUGCAAGCUACCUGGUAUUUUUUGUGUGAGCGAGCAAUAAAAGCCUGUGGCCUUUGCUGUUAUCUCUCUCC
ensembl:lncRNA